GACGAACGCUGGCGGCGUGCUUAACACAUGCAAGUCGAACGAAGUGGCGAACGGGUGAGUAACGCGUAAUCAACCUGCCCUUCCGAGGGGGACAACAGUUGAAAACGACUGCUAAUACCGCAUACUGAAGGACGGGAUUGCGUCGGAUUAGCUAGUUGGAGGGGUAACGCCCCACCAAGGCGAUGAUGAGUAGCCGGUCUUAGAGGAUGAACGGCCACAUUGGGACUGGGACACGGCCCAGACUCCUACGGGAGGCAGCAGUGGGGAAUCUUCCGCAAUGGACGAAAGUCUGACGGAGCAACGCCGCGUGAGUGAUGACGGCCUUCGGGUUGUAAAGCUCUGUUAAUCGGGACGCGGUACCGGAAUAGAAAGCCACGGCUAACUACGUGCCAGCAGCCGCGGUAAUUC
rnacentral:rRNA from 1 species